GACGAACGCUGGCGGCAUGCUAAUACAUGCAAGUCGAACGCCAAAUCUUCCUGCUUGCAGGAAGAGGCGGAGUGGCGAACGGGUGAGUAACACGUGAGGAACUUGCCCAUAAGAGGGGGAUAACACCCGGAAACGGGUGCUAAUACCGCAUAGGUUUUCCCACCGCAUGGUGGGAAAAUAAAAGGUGGCUCUGCUACCGCUUAUGGAUAGCCUCGCGGCGCAUUAGCUAGUUGGUAGGGUAAAGGCCUACCAAGGCCAUGAUGCGUAGCCGACUUGAGAGGGUGAUCGGCCACACUGGAACUGAGACACGGUCCAGACUCCUACGGGAGGCAGCAGUAGGGAAUCUUCCGCAAUGGGCGAAAGCCUGACGGAGCAACGCCGCGUGAGUGAUGAAGGUCUUCGGAUCGUAAAACUCUGUUAUUAGGGAAGAACAAAUGCGUAAGUAACUGUGCGCGUCUUGACGGUACCUAAUCAGAAAGCCACGGCUAACUACGUGCCAGCAGCCGCGGUAAUACGUAGGUGGCAAGCGUUAUCCGGAAUUAUUGGGCGUAAAGCGCGCGUAGGCGGUUUUUUAAGUCUGAUGUGAAAGCCCACGGCUCAACCGUGGAACGGCAUUGGAAACUGGCGGACUUGAAUGUAGCAGAGGAAAGUGGAAUUCCAUGUGUAGCGGUGGAAUGCGUAGAUAUAUGGAGGAACACCAGUGGCGAAAGCGACUUUCUGGGCUAUGAUUGACGCUGAGGCUCGAAAGCGUGGGGAGCGAACAGG
rnacentral:rRNA from 1 species